rnacentral:rRNA from 1 species
AUUCUGUCGCAGACCGCUGCACGCGGCGUCUUUCCCGCGGCGAUGUCGGGCUGAGGGUUCCUCCGGUGGGCGGGCGAGUGGUUCCGCUGGAUCUGCCUGGAGGGGGCGGGUUACGCUCGCUGACUGGCGCUCAUACCGUAUACGUCCUACAGGAGAAAGCAGGGGACCUUCGGGCCUUGCGCUAUCACAUGAGCCUAGGUCGGAUUUGCUCGGUGGUGAGGUAAUGGCUCACCAACUCGACUAUCCGUAACUCGUGUGAGAGGAUGAUCAAUCCCACUGGAACUGACACACGGCUGACACUCCUACGGGAGGCUGAAGUGGGGAAUAUUGGACUUUGGGCGAAAGCCUGAUCCUUGCUUGCCGCGGGUGUGAAGAAGGUCUUCGGAUUGUCUGGCCUUUAAGUUGGUAGGCAGGGAUCUAGAUCUAUACUCUGCAAUUUUGACGUUACCGACAGAAUAAGCACCGGCUAACUCUGUGCCAGCAGCCGCGGUAAUACAGAGGGUGCAAGCGUUAAUCGGAAUUACUGGGCGUAAAGCGCGCGUAGGUGGUUUGUUAAGUUGGAUGUGAAAUCCCCGGGCUCAACCUGGGGAACUGCAUUCAAAACUGACUGACUAGAGUAUGGUAGAGGGGUGGUGGAAUUUCCUGUGUAGCGGUGAAAUGCGUAGAUAUAGGAAGGGAACACCAGUGGGCGAAGGCGACCACCUUGGACUAAUACUGACACUGAGGUGCGAAUGUGUGGGGAGCUAACAGGAUUUAGAUACCCUUGUUAUUCCACGUCGUAAACCAUGUCAACUAGCCAUUUGUAGCUUUGAGCUUUUAAUGGCCCACCUAACGCUUUAAGUUUGACGCU